rnacentral:rRNA from 1 species
UACGUAGGGGGCUAGCGUUGUCCGGAAUCAUUGGGCGUAAAGAGCGUGUAGGUGGCUCGGUAAGUCCGCUGUGAAAGUCCAGGGCUCAACCCUGGAAUGCCGGUGGAAACUGUCGAGCUAGAGUCCGGAAGAGGCGAGUGGAAUUCCUGGUGUAGCGGUGAAAUGCGCAGAUAUCAGGAGGAACACCAAUGGCGAAGGCAGCUCGCUGGGACGGUACUGACACUGAGACGCGAAAGCGUGGGGAGCAAACAGG